GCAGUUAGGCUGAUAAGUAGGCAAAUCCGCUUAUCGUAAAGGCUGAGCUGUGAUGGGGAAGCUCCUUAUGGAGCGAAGUCUUUGAUUCCCCGCUGCCAAGAAAAGCUUCUAGCGAGAUAAAAGGUGCCUGUACCGCAAACCGACACAGGUAGGCGAGGAGAGAAUCCUAAGGUGUGCGAGAGAACUCUGGUUAAGGAACUCGGCAAAAUGACCCCGUAACUUCGGGAGAAGGGGUGCUUUCUUAACGGAAAGCCGCAGUGAAUAGGCCCAAGCGACUGUUUAGCAAAAACACAGCUCUCUGCGAAGCCGUAAGGCGAAGUAUAGGGGGUGACACCUGCCCGGUGCUGGAAGGUUAAGGAGAGGGGUUAGCGUAAGCGAAGCUCUGAACUGAAGCCCCAGUAAACGGCGGCCGUAACUAUAACGGUCCUAAGGUAGCGAAAUUCCUUGUCGGGUAAGUUCCGACCCGCACGAAAGGUGUAACGAUUUGGGCACUGUCUCAACCAGAGACUCGGUGAAAUUAUAGUACCUGUGAAGAUGCAGGUUACCCGCGACAGGACGGAAAGACCCCGUGGAGCUUUACUGUAGCCUGAUAUUGAAUUUUGGUACAGUUUGUACAGGAUAGGCGGGAGCCUUUGAAACCGGAGCGCUAGCUUCGGUGGAGGCGCUGGUGGGAUACCGCCCUGACUGUAUUGAAAUUCUAACCUACGGGUCUUAUCGACCCGGGAGACAGUGUCAGGUGGGCAGUUUGACUGGGGCGGUCGCCUCCUAAAGUGUAACGGAGGCGCCCAAAGGUUCCCUCAGAAUGGUUGGAAAUCAUUCGUAGAGUGCAAAGGCAUAAGGGAGCUUGACUGCGAGACCUACAAGUCGAGCAGGGACGAAAGUCGGGCUUAGUGAUCCGGUGGUUCCGCAUGGAAGGGCCAUCGCUCAACGGAUAAAAGCUACCCCGGGGAUAACAGGCUUAUCUCCCCCAAGAGUCCACAUCGACGGGGAGGUUUGGCACCUCGAUGUCGGCUCAUCGCAUCCUGGGGCUGUAGUCGGUCCCAAGGGUUGGGCUGUUCGCCCAUUAAAGCGGUACGCGAGCUGGGUUCAGAACGUCGUGAGACAGUUCGGUCCCUAUCCGUCGUGGGCGUAGGAAAUUUGAGAGGAGCUGUCCUUAGUACGAGAGGACCGGGAUGGACGCACCGCUGGUGUACCAGUUGUUCUGCCAAGGGCAUAGCUGGGUAGCUAUGUGCGGAAGGGAUAAGUGCUGAAAGCAUCUAAGCAUGAAGCCCCCCUCAAGAUGAGAUUUCCCAUAGCGUAAGCUAGUAAGAUCCCUGAAAGAUGAUCAGGUUGAUAGGUUCGAGGUGGAAGCAUGGUGACAUGUGGAGCUGACGAAUACUAAUAG
rnacentral:rRNA from 1 species